GCCUUCGUAGUGUAAUGGUUAGCACACUCGGCGCGUAUUCAAGACGUCCAGGUUCGAUUCCCGGCGAGGGCA
rnacentral:tRNA from 1 species